GUGCUCGCUUCAGUGCACAAACACCAAAAUUGGAAUGAUACAGAGUAUUAGCAUGGCCUGUGAGCAAGGAUGGCACAAAAAUUCAGGAAGCAUUCCAUAUUUUA
ensembl:snRNA U6 U6 spliceosomal RNA